UACGUAGGGUGCAAGCGUUGUCCGGAAUUAUUGGGCGUAAAGAGCUCGUAGGCGGCUAGUCAAGUCGAACGUGAAAUCUCGGAGCUCAACUCCGAAACUGCGUUCGAUACUGGGUAGCUAGAGUCUGGUAGGGGGAUCUGGAAUUCCUGGUGUAGCGGUGGAAUGCGCAGAUAUCAGGAGGAACACCGGUGGCGAAGGCGGGAUCCUGGGCCAGUACUGACGCUGAGGAGCGAAAGCGUGGGGAGCAAACAGG
rnacentral:rRNA from 1 species